CUCUUUCUAGGCGGUUGAGCCUAUUCUUAUCACUUUACCACUCUGUAAUCCAGUAACACCUUCAUUGAAUCAUACAUCAGUUGUUGCUUGUCUUGGUCAUAUUAGUUUAGUACGUUGUGAUAACUGCAUCAUGCAUAGUAGCUUCUGAGCACUAUAUAAAUGGCAGCUAAGUUCAUUCAUUUCCAUAUCCCUCCAAUGUUGUCUGCAUCUUGAGUUUACAACCGAGAGUGGCAAACUGACAAUUGGCAUGGCUCUCUUGGUCCCUCUCUCCCUUGAAGGCUCUCUCUGGUAAAUCUGGUUGGCUUCCCGGCACAUAUCCAGAACCUUCUUGAGAAAGCCUUCGGGGAGGAGGGAGCCCAAGCAAGCCACAGUGCCUGUACCAAAUACAGAAAAGAUGUGCACUGAUUGGUUAUGUUUUUUAUUUGAUUAUUUUUUUGAGAACUUGAGUAAUUAUUUGCUGUGUUGAUUGUUUAAAAUGAGCCUAUCUCUAUCAACUGACAUCGGUCUGGAUGUACAAGGAAUGGACAACCGGGGAUUGGCAAGUUUCUUAUCUUUACAAGGCAGUUGAGGCGUGAAGCUACUGAUCAUCUCGUAAACAGGUACGAGAAGGAGAAGAAGGAAGAAAGUCAGGUGCCAUGCCAGGGUUUUUCUUCACUUGGAGGUCUCAUCACUACUGAAUUGUGUGAAUAGGUGGAUGUUACAACGUUGUUGAUGGUGCUCAACUUUCCUAAACUAAUGGGUGCAUUGGUAGCAACACUCUGCUCUAGCUUUAUGGGUGCUCGCUAAACCGCCAGUUCACAACAUUACGUCAUGAGGUUGGGCGUGUUGGAUGUUGGUUGAACACAGUCAGAUGCCAAGCAACAGAUGAACUCAUAGAAAAUGGACACCAUUGUUUUUGUGUUACUUGUCAAGUGGUAGUGAAGCUAGUCGCUCUCUACUCCACAGUCGGGAGCCCUUCCUUGUUUUAUUUGGGCUAUGAACGUUUGUAGUUCUGACAUGAUGGUUACUGCUUGUAGUUCAGACAUAAUGGACGUCCGUGUUUUGUUUGGGCUACGUUGACGGGCCUCGAAUAAAACAUGCAGAAAUACAGUAUUGUUCACAUGCUUGCAGGCCAGGAUGGUUGUGCAUAUCCUGUCA